rnacentral:rRNA from 1 species
UACGUAGGAGGCAAGCGUUGUCCGGAAUUACUGGGCGUAAAGCGCGUGUAGGCGGUCGCAUUAGUCUGUUGUGAAAACGCCGGGCUUAACCCGGUGAGGUCGACGGAAACUGUGUGACUGGAGGACGGUAGAGGGGGGUGGAAUUCCCGGUGUAGUGGUGAAAUGCGUAGAGAUCGGGAGGAACCCCAGUGGCGAAGGCGGCCCCCUGGGCCGGGCCUGACGCUGAGACGCGAAGGCGUGGGGAGCGAACGGG